ACACCGGGCCUAGGGAGGGCGGAGGUCUGGCGGCCUUCUGGUUACCCUGGCGAUGGGCUCUUAGGUGCGGAGGCUCGGAACUAGCCGCUUUCCCCCUCCGAUACCUUAGUUUCGGGUGGUGGCCUGUGACGGGGGCCUGAGUCCCCUCUUACCAUGUCUGGCUGGCGGCGCCCCAGAUGCCACGUGAUGGUCAUUUGAAGACAGGCCUGUCGGACAUCAGGAAUCCCAAGGUCCAUACACUUGCCUUCAGGGACCUGGGCUUUCGGCUGUCAUACCUGGCCCUGGUUGAUGGCCCCGUGCUGAGCAGUGCAUGUGAAGACACACAUGGUAAGGAAAUGGCAGAGUUGCUUCUGGGACUGGAAGGAGACAGGGAAACCUGGCAGAGAGGAACAGGAUUUAGGGGCUCCGGCGUGAGAGGAGAGAGAUGAAGGUGAGUGCCUUGGAUGUCUGUACCAGUCGGGUUCACACUGCACGGGUCCGUUUAGGUGUGGAUUUUUUACGGUGUGGUACAUAAAUGUAUUUUCUUUUCCUUACAAUUUCCUUCGUCUUUUAUCUAGUUCAUUUUACUGUUAGAAUAUAGUUUAUAAGGCACAUGGCAUACGAGCUCGGGGUGAAUUGACUAAGUUAUUGGGAAGGCUUUUGGUCAACAGUAGGCCCUUAGUAAAGUUUUUGGGGAGUCAAAAGCUAUAAGCAGAUUUUUGACUGCUCGGGGUGUGUGGGGAAGGGUUGGUGCCCCUAAACACCUCCUCCCCCCACCCCCGCACUGUUUGAGGAUCAACUGUGUUUUGGCAUUGAUGGGUGUCUGUUCAUUUGUUUAUUUAUUCAAAUAUAUUUGCAUUAGACCUGAGUUUCAAUUCAGGUUCAAGCAAUAUAAUCUGGGUGUCUUAGGCUGAUUACUUAACCUCUCUGAACUUCCAUUUCUUCGCCUGUAAAAUGUGGGUGAUUCCUACCUUAUAAGUGAGAUAAUGUAUUGAAAUCACCUAGUCCAUAACAAAUGCUUGGUAAAUAAUAAUUACUGUCAUUAUGGAAGGGUUGGGGGCUGAAAAGGUCUGAGUGAUUGAAUAUCUUCUGUCUCAAACAGUGGUUAAGAAUUUAGAGACGUUUCCUCAGGGAAUUUGUAAGUGCCUGAGUUAUAUAGUGAGGGACGGGAGAGGUCGAGUAUUUCUAGUGUCACAACCAAGAGAGGCUUUCCACACAGGUUAUUUCGGGCCACUGAUUCUACAGUGGAGGUGGUGCCUCAGAGCCACUGAUCCUAUCAGUUAAGAGGAACAAAUAUAAUCACUGCCUUUCUAUGGAUUAAAAAAAAAAAUCAAAAGCCCAGAGAGAUAAAACCGCUUGUCAGGAUUGCAUAGUCAGGAAAAGGCAGAGGCUGACCUUGAACUCGGGUUCCUGACUGCCCCUUGCAAGCUAUUUUUAAUUUUAGCACAUUUCCUCUAGAAAGGCUGUUGGGAAAAUUAGGCAAAGUGCGCGAUGAGAACUGAGGCGGGUGGAGGAAGAGAGGAUGAGAGGCAGUUGGUAGAGAUUAAAGCUGACAUGUGAAUGUUUAUUUUUGUUUUCCAAAUGUAGAGAGUGGCUGGGGAGAAGAGGAGCAGGGAGGGAGAGGAAGAAGGGUGUUCUGGGGGCCUGGGGGACCUGAGGGACAGUUCUGAGGUCUCCAAGACAAAGUUUGGGCCCGGAAGGGUGAGUGCAGGUGUUGGUUUAUUGCUGGCCGCGUCCCUGGGGCCUGGCCGUUGGUGGCUCCCCCCAGUAAACGUCUGGAGUUGCCCCGCGGAGGCAGAGGUGCUGCGUGAAGUGUGAGGGGCAGUACCCCUAGAAGGAUGUAAAGCCAUCCCUGCUGGCCCAUGUGUGCUGGAGAGGGGAGGACAGACCUAGCAAGGGCUCGAGAAAGGCUGUUCCUUUCAGCCUUAGGUUAAAAUGCAGGCGGGGGUGCUCCAGGUGGUGGCUAGAGCCUAGCCGAGUGGAGGGGAGGCUGGACUGGCCCCAGAAAUGUGGCCCCAAGGGGCCGUGCACGGGCUUCCAGUUGGUACCAGAGCACGGACAGUACUGAGUGUGCGCGGGACGUGACUGGGCAGUGUGGGACAUGUGCAGUGAGCCCAGAACAGUGUGUGUGUGCUGGACAGUAGUGGGCAGGAGGGGCAGGGAGGGAAAGCAGUGUGGGACAUGAUGGGCUUUGCAGGAAGCUUUUCCCGUGUAUCUCUAUCCUCACGCGAGAAAACAGACAAGGAGAUGAGGAGGAGAGGAGCCCCAGCAGGGCCUGGGCAGAUCCCUCCCUGGCUGUGGUUCUGGUCUUGUUGGGCUCCAUGCUGUGGCAGAUGAGGGCCAUGUGUGCCUGGGGCUCGGGGAUGACAGUGGAGGAUGA